CCUACGGGGGGCAGCAGUGGGGAAUAUUGGACAAUGGGGGCAACCCUGAUCCAGCCAUGCCGCGUGUGUGAAGAAGGCCCUCGGGUUGUAAAGCACUUUCAGUGAGGAAGAACGCCUGGUGGUUAAUACCCAUCAGGAAAGACAUCACUCACAGAAGAAGCACCGGCUAACUCCGUGCCAGCAGCCGCGGUAAUACGGAGGGUGCGAGCGUUAAUCGGAAUUACUGGGCGUAAAGCGCGCGUAGGUGGCUUGAUAAGCCGGUUGUGAAAGCCCCGGGCUCAACCUGGGAACGGCAUCCGGAACUGCCAAGCUAGAGUGCAGGAGAGGAAGGUAGAAUUCCCGGUGUAGCGGUGAAAUGCGUAGAGAUCGGGAGGAACACCAGUGGCGAAGGCGGCCUUCUGGACUGACACUGACACUGAGGUGCGAAAGCGUGGGUAGCAAACAGGAUUAGAUACCCUAGUAGUC
rnacentral:rRNA from 1 species